AAAUCCAAGGGUUUCUAUGUUAAAAUGUAUUUCAUAGAGUGAAACGGCCCCUAAGAAAGAUUUGACGAAAGCAAAUUUUGAUGGGAUAAUUUUUAAAUUAAAUUUUUUAAAAAAAGUGACAAAAAGUUUUACUUUUUCAGGAAAUAGCUUUUUUUAAAAAAAACCGUACCCUAAACCGACACAGGUGGAUAGGUCGAGUAGACUAAGGUGGAUGAGAGAAUUAUAUUGAAGGAACUCGGCAAAAUGACUCUGUAACUUCGGGAUAAAGAGUACCUAAAUAUUAUAUUUAGGCGCACAAAAUAGGGGGUCGCGACCGUUUAAUAAAAACUUAGGACUCUGCUAAAUGGUAACAUGAUGUAUAGGGUCUGACACCCGCUCGGUGCUGGAAGAUUAAUAGGAGACGUUUGCGCAUUGAAUGGAAGUCCCAGUAAACGGCGGCCGUAACUCUGACGGUCCUAAGGUAGCGAAAUUCCUUGUCGGGUAAGUUCCGACCUGCAUGAAUGGUGUAACGACAUCCCCGCUGUCUCCAAUAUAAACUCAGUGAAUUUGAAUUAUCCGUGAAGAUGCGGAUUCUCUAUAGUUAGACGGAAAGACCCCGUGAACCUUUACUACAUCUUUAUAUUGUUAUUUUAUCUAAUAUGUGUAGCAUAAGUGGGAAUCAAUAAGACCUUCACGCUAGUGAAUUGUUUAGAUAACAUUGAAAUACCACUCUUAUUAAAAUAAAUAACUAAUAUUUUUAUAAAUAGACAGUGUAUGGUUGGUAGUUUGACUGGGGCGGUCACCUCCUAAAGAGUAACGGAGGUGUACAAAGGUAAGCUCAAAUUGGAUUAUAUUAUCAAUUGUAGAGCGCAAUGGUAUAAGCUUGCUUGACUGUAAGAUAGACAUAUCAAACAGGGACGAAAGUCGGUCAUAGUGAUCCGAUAAUUCUUUGUGGAAAGAUUAUCGCUCAACGGAUAAAAGGUACUCCGGGGAUAACAGGCUGAUGACUCCUAAGAGCUCCUAUCGACGGAGUCGUUUGGCACCUCGAUGUCGACUCAUCACAUCCUGAGCU
rnacentral:ncRNA from 1 species